rnacentral:lncRNA from 1 species
UUCCGGAGUGUGGAGCGUGUCUGUAUUGGGAGUAGGUUUUUGUACUUAGGCGAAGUCAGGUUCGCAUCUAAGCCCCCGAGUGUGGAGCAUGUCCGUACUCAGAGUUGUUUUUAACUUAGGCGAUACAGAGUCGCAACUAAGUUCCCGAGUGUGGAGCAUGUCCGUAUUUGGAGUUGUUUAUAACUUAGGCGACACGGAGUCGCAACUAAGUUCCCGAGUGUGGAGCGUGUCCGUACUCGGAGUUGUUUUUAACUUAGGCGAUACGGAGUCGCGGCUAAGUUCCCGAGUGUGGAGCAUGUCCGUAAUUGGAGUUGUUUUUUAACUUAGGUGAUAUGGAGUUGCAGAUAAGUUCCCGAGUGUGGAGCAUGUCCAUACUCAGAGUUAUUUUUAACUUAGGGAAUAUGGAGUCACAGCUAAGUUCUCAGCUGUGGAGCGUGUCCGUACUCGAAAUAGUUUUUUACUUAGGCAAAGUGAGGUUUGCAACUAAGCCGGUCACCCACUAGGGGGUUGUGGAAUAGAUGUGUUCAGCUGAGCUAUGGCGCACGGGCCGGCUGAGUGACGAUGCGGGAGGCAUCUAAGUGAUGAAGACAUCUCCAGCUGAGUGGCUACGCGAUGGGCGGCCGUGUGAUGAAGAUGCAUUCAGCGAAAUAAUGGCGCGCGAGGCGGCCGGGUGAUGGAGACGUGUCCGAUAGAGUGGCAGCCCACGGGGCGGCCAUGUGAUGAAGACGCGCUUGGUGGAGUGAUAGCGCGCGAGGCGGUCGAGUGAUGUAGGCGCGCUCGGCGGAGUGGCGAUGCGCGAGGCGGCCGAGUGAUGAAGACGUGCUCGGCGGAAUGAUGGCGCGUGAGACAGCCGAGUGAUGGUGAUGCGUCCAACCGAGUGGCGACACGUUGGGCGGCAAAGUGAUGUCGACCGCUCAGCAGAGUGACGGCGCGCGAGACGGCCGAGUGAUGGAGACGCGUCCAACCGAGUGGCGACACGCUAGGCGGCCAAGUGAUGUUGGCACGUCCAGCAGAGUGGCAACGCACAGGGCGUCCAUGUGAUGAAGACGUGCUCGGCAGAGUGACGACGCGUUGGGCGGCCAUGUGAUGAAGACACGCUCGAUGGAGUGAUGACGCGCGAGGCGGCCGGGUGAUAUAGGCGCGUCCAGCAGAGUGGCAAUGUGUGGGGCAUCCACAUGAUGUAGGCACGUCCAGCAGAGUGGCGACGCGCCGGGUGUCCAAGUGAUGAAGACUCGCUCGGCAGAGCGACGACAUGCGAGGCGACCCUGUGAUGGAAAAGCGUCCAACCGAGUGGCGGUGCGCUGGGCGGCCAAGUGACGUAGGCGCGUCCAACCAGAUGACGACGGGCGGGGCGUCCGAGUGACUGUGUAACCUAUGUACGAAAAAUAGCACAAACCAACGUAAAAAAAUUCCCAAAGCAAUAUGAGUUUGCUAAUGGGUGUGCGAGGUGAUUGCUGGUUUGGAACCAGCAAGAGUCAGCAAGAGUCUAAAAGAGUGAAGGAUCCGGCUAAACUCGUUUGAGUUCUGAACCCAAAUAAAGCGGAAAUGAAGUGUUUCGAUAUGAAAUAAAAAACCAAACGCUGAGGUACACUCACUAGCGUGGCCUCCGAGUGAACAUCAUGUGUGACUUACAAGAGACUCAGUAAUGCAGAAAUGACUACUUAAUUGAAUGCAUCGUGUGAAGAAUGACUUAGCUGUCUAAUGGCGCGUGCGCGGCCGUGUAGCGAAGACGUUUUCAACCGAUGGCGAGAUGUAGGGAAGCUGAGUGAUGAAGAUACACCUCAUCGGGUGGCGACGCGCAGAGCGGCCGAGUGAUGAGGUCGCUUUCGGUUGAGCGACGGCGCGCGGGGCAGUCGAAUGAUGAAGUCGUGUCUGAUUGAGCGACGACACACGGGGCGGCCGAAUGACGAAGAUUCGUACAACUGAGGGACGGCGCGCGGAGUGACAGAUUGAUGACGACGCGUCCGACUGAGGGAUGGUGUGUGGGGCGACCGAGUGUUAACGACGCGUCCGACUCAGCAACGGCAUGCAGACGGUCGGUUUAUUAGUACAAGUCCGACUAAGGGACGACGCGCGGUGCGGCCGAGUGUUGACAACGCGUCCGACUGAGGGAAGCCACGUAGGGCGGCCGAGUGUUGACGACGCGCCCGACUGAGCGACGGUGCGCGGGGCAGCCGAGUGUUGACGACACGUCCGACUGAGCGACGGCGCGCGGGGCUACCGAUUUAUGACGAUGAGUCCGACUAAGGGACGGCACGCAGGGCGUCCGAAUGAUGAAGUCGUGCCCGGUUGAGCGACGGCGCACGGGGCAACAGAGUGGUGAAGUUGCGUCCGGUUGAGCGACGGCGCACGGGCGACCGACUGAUGAAGUCGCGUCCGGUUGAGCGACGACAUACGAGGUGGUCGAAUGAUGAUGUCGUGUCUGAUUGAGCGACGGCACACGGGGUGAUCGAGUGAUGAAGUCGCGUCCGGUUGAACGACGGCACACAGGGCGGCUGAUUGGUGCACACGAGUCCCGAGGAAUGGAACGUGCAGGACGACCGACUGAUGCAUACGUGUCCGAUGGAGAGACGACGCGAGGGGCGACCGACUGACUGCAUGUUGGUCGUCUGUACGUAAAUUUCAUUUGCGUGUCCUCGUGUUAGCGGCUCCAACGGAAUGUCCGCCCGGGUAAGUGUUGUCCGAAGACGAUAACGAACGAGUAAUCCUACAUGUUAGUAGCAAGUAUAGCUAUGAAUAUAUUUUUUGUUGGAUCAAAACGUGGCCAUUUUAUGAGGACUAGUUAGCAUGCACGUGCAACGCACGACUAACUGAAUAAUUUAUAAAUUGCUUUUAAUAUUAAAAUUUUAGUAUAUAUAUAUAUAGCUGCAAAAAUAUUAAAACACACACAAUAUACACAUUACUUGCACUCCAUUGAAAAAUUAAAAAUAAAUGUAUUCGGUGGAAUAAUGGAAAAAAUGUUUGGAGUAACAUAAGACAAGGAGACCAUGAUCAACAACAAAUCAUUUUGCUAAAUUGGAUAUGAUCAAGUUGAAAUUCAUAUUUCUCUUCAAAUUCCACGUAAAAGGCCACUUGAAUUAUAUGGAAAUAAAAUAAUUCCUCAAACAACAUCGAAAAAAUGUUGCACAAUUGUCAAAUAAUCCAAAAUAAUUAUUAUUAAGGAAAACAACAUCACCCUCGAUGUUGGUGUGGACCCCACCAUCAAAACAGAGUCAUUUUUGCAUUUAAAAGUGCUCUUAAAUUCCAUGAAAAAAAUCCAAACAUAUUUCAAUGGGCCCAAUUAUUUUUGUGAUCAUUCAAAAUACUGUAAGAUAUGUGUUGGACCAUGUCACACAUUUUUUCUAUAAGGAAUAGUUGCUGGAAUUAAAUAAAGCAGAAAAUAAUAAAAGAAAGCAUAAAAAAAUAAGAAAAAAUAAAAAGUAGAAAGCUACUGGGCACUUAGGCCCAGCUGGUACAGGCUGGCCCGGCCCAGCUAGGCUGGCCUUUCUCCCACCUCCCGACAGAGGCAGGGGAGGCCAUGGCGCCAUAGCCGUCCGCGUACGGAUGCCCUCGCUGGCGAGCAUCCAACGGCUCCCCCGACGCGGAUAAUGCGACCCUGAGCGUCUCUCCAACCCUAGCCUCCUUUUCGCCUCGCCUCGCGCCCCAAGGAGCUCCUCUCCUCUCUUGCCCCCUUUCCCAUGUCCAGCCGAACGCCGCCAUGGCCAUGCUACGGUGAGCUCGCAGCCACCGCCAGCCUCGCUCCUAUCCGUCGAGCCUAGACGCUCCAUGACAUCCUCCUCGACCCCCUCGAGCUCUGGAUCGAACCGGAGCACGACGCAGCUUCGUCCCGUUCCUCUUCUUCAACCUCGGACCCGAGAGCUCACCGUCGUCGAUCUCCUCUCUCCGAGCUCCUCCGACUGCACCGGGCCUUUCCAUCGACGUUGGUGAGCUCCUCUCGCCGCUCCUUCGCCUCUGUGCGCUCCCGUAGCGGUGGCAUGUGGCGACGGCGAGGAAACAACAGGCAUACAACUCCAUUGAGAAAUUAGUAAAUCACUAAAUCUUAUUUCACUGAAAGUUUCAGUGGGUGUUGCUAAGAAAUGUUUCACACAAGCGCACCCAAUGCACAAAAGAAACGACAUUGCUAUCCCUGGGUAAAAUCCUAAAUACGAAAACUGUAAGCAUAAAAACCAGACCUCUUGUGGUAAAUUGUCAGCUUACUUGUUGAACAAAUUCGAGGGAUGUGUCCGGCCGUCCGACAUAGAAGAAGAUGAGCUGUGUUCUCCUGAGGGACAUGAGAUCCCUGGGGAACUCCCUGAGCAGCUGUCACACACGAGCAAGAAC